UACGGGGGGGGCAAGCGUUGUUCGGAAUUACUGGGCGUAAAGGGCUCGUAGGCGGCCAACUAAGUCCGACGUGAAAUCCCCAGGCUUAACCUGGGAACUGCGUCGGAUACUGGAUGGCUUGAAUUCGGGAGAGGGAUGCAGAAUUCCAGGUGUAGCGGUGAAAUGCGUAGAUAUCGGAAGGAACAUCAGUGGCGAAAGCGGCUUCCUGGACCAGUACCGACGUUCAGGCACGAAAGCGUGGGGAGCAAACAGG
rnacentral:rRNA from 1 species